GUCGCUCUAACGGGGUGCCGACGCAUUGUCGGCUGAGAGGCUUGGGAAGAACCCAACCAACCCGCGGAACCUGAUCCGGUUGAUACCGGCGGAGGGAUUAGACGCUUUUCGGAC
rnacentral:ncRNA from 2 species